ensembl:snoRNA U3 Small nucleolar RNA U3
AAGACUAUACUUUCAGGGAUCUUUUCUAUAGUAUGUUACUAGAGAAGUUUCUCUGAAUGUGUAGAGCACCGAACAGAGGC